GACGAACGCUGGCGGCAUGCUUAACACAUGCAAGUCUGACGGGCUGCUUUCGGGUGGUCAGUGGCGGACGGGUGAGUAACGCGUAGGGAUUUGUCGUUGGGUGGGGGAUAACCUUGGGAAACCGGGGCUAAGACCGCAUGACGCCUGUGGGCCAAAGCAGUGAUGCGCCUGACGAGGAGCCUGCGUUCGAUUAGCUUGUUGGUGGGGUAACGGCCUACCAAGGCUUCGAUCGAUAGCUGGUCUGAGAGGAUGAUCAGCCACACUGGGACUGAGACAC
rnacentral:rRNA from 1 species